CAGCAGCCACGGGAAUACGAAGGGUGCAAGCGUUAAUCGGAAUUACUGGGCGUAAAGCGUGCGUAGGCGGUGAGUUAAGUCUGCUGUGAAAUCCCCGGGCUCAACCUGGGAAUGGCAGUGGAUACUGGCUCGCUAGAGUGUGUCAGAGGAUGGUGGAAUUCCCGGUGUAGCGGUGAAAUGCGUGGAGAUCGGGAGGAACAUCAGUGGCGAAGGCGGCCAUCUGGGACAACACUGACGCUGAGGCACGAAAGCGUGGGGAGCAAACAGGAUUAGAUACCCCAGUAGUCCCUGUCUCUUAUAC
rnacentral:rRNA from 1 species